AUGCUCAAGAUCUUUGGCUUCAAGAUGGGAGGUUUUGCUUGCGCUCAUGCAGAGAAGAGGCAUCGCCUGGAUAGAACUUUGAACGGUCUUAGCAAGAAAGGCUAUGUGGGAAGCUGUUACGCUAAGUACAAGCCGUUCAGCUUCAGCGCCCUGUUACCUCAAGGUUUGAGCGGCAAGAUGAUGUACGUGAAGCUUGUCCUCCUCAUCCUCAUGUGCGGCUCCUUCAUGGGCCUCCUCCACUCGCCGUCGAUCCACCAUGGCGGCGACCAACGCAGCACACAGUCGCCUGAGAUGUCAACGGCGAUGCGGACGUCCGACGCCGACGAGCUGGACUCCGGUUACACGUCGGACCUGAGGGUCGACUGGUCGAGCGUCUCCAUGGCGGUGCAACGGGUCGCUCGAGAAGGAGACGGUGGAUUGCGUGUAGGGAUCCUGAACUUCGACGGGGAUGAGAUGGACCAAUGGAGGACGCUGCUGCCGGCGGCCUCCGCGGUGCACCUGGACCGCGUCGCGGGGAACGUCACCUGGGCGCACCUGUACCCGGAGUGGAUCGACGAGGAGGAGCUGUACCACGCGCCGGUGUGCCCGGACCUGCCGGAGCCGGCGUCUGCCCCGGAGGGAGGGUACGACGUCGUCGCCGUGAAGCUCCCGUGCAGCGGCGCGGCGGGCUGGUCCAAGGACGUGCCGCGGCUGCACCUGCAGCUGGCCGCCGCGCGGCUCGCCGCGGGCCGGUCGGAGGACCGUGGCCGGCGGGCGGCGGCGCACGUGAUCGUCGUCAGCCGGUGCUUCCCAGCGCCGAACCUGUUCAGCUGCAAGCACGAGGUCAUGCGCGACGGCGACGUGUGGCUGUACCGGCCGGACAUGGGCGAGCUCCGGCAGAAGCUCGCCCUCCCCGUCGGAUCCUGCAGGCUGGCCAUGCCGCUCAGAGCACUCGGGGAGGCAUACGUGUCUGCGGCGCCGCGGCGAGAGGCGUACGCGACGAUCCUCCACUCGGAGCAGCUGUACGCAUGCGGCGCCAUGGUGGCGGCGCAGAGCAUCCGUAUGGCGGGGUCGGACAGGGACAUGGUGGCGCUGGUCGACGAGACCAUCAGCGAGCGGCACCGGAGCGCGCUGGAGGCGGCCGGGUGGAAGGUGCGGACGAUCCGGCGGAUCCGAAACCCGCGCGCGUCGCGGGACGCCUACAACGAGUGGAACUACAGCAAGUUCUGGCUGUGGACGCUGACGGAGUACCGCCGGGUGGUGUUCCUGGACGCCGACCUGCUGGUGCAGCGCCCCAUGGAGCCGCUCUUCGCCAUGCCGGAGGUGAGCGCCACGGGGAACCACGGCACGGUCUUCAACUCCGGCGUCAUGGUGGUGGACCCUGCAACUGCACCUUCCGGCUGCUCAUGGACCACAUCGGCGACAUCCAGUCCUACAACGGCGGCGACCAGGGGUACCUCAACGAGGUCUUCUCCUGGUGGCACCGCCUGCCGUCGCGCGCCAACUACAUGA
rnacentral:rRNA from 1 species